CAGAGCUCCAACGGGCGCCCAGAGGGCGGGUCGAGACGGGACACAGGCAAGGAUUGGGCACAGGAGCGGCGGGAGGCGGAGCCGCGAGCCUGGCGCGUCCCGGGCCGGCAGCCGGGAGACCCAGGCCCGCAGCCUGCGCCUGGGCGGGGCUCACAGGUGCCGGGGCGGGGCCCUGUGGGGAGCGGGCGGGACCUCGCGAGGGGUGGGCGUGCCCGCGGGCCGCGGGAGACUGGGAUCGGGACCCGGACAGGGACGGGGGCGUCUCCUCCCUCGCUGGCUCGCUCCCUCCCUCCCCUCGGCCGGGCCCCCUCACCCGUGGCGGCCGCUACGCUGGCCGCGCUCCAGCGAGAUGAGCCCUGGGAAUCGAACCAUUGGCUUUGUGCCCUGUGCCUGCCAGGCGAACACUGUACCACAGAGCUCCACCCCACCCCCAAAAUGGGUACUGAAAUCUGACAGCUUAAGCACUCCUGGGCCUCACAGGAGUGGAAAUGGUUAAUCAGACGGCCAUGAACUUGAGCAUGGAGCCCGUGGAGCUGGAAAAUCCGUGGAGAAGGCACUCCCUGUGCAGCCGGGAUGAGGUCCAAAUUACGUUUCAGGACCUCGAAAGGGGCUGGGGACUUAGCUCAGUGGUAGAGUGCCUGUGGGUUUGCUACCCAGUACUGUAGGGCGUGGGGAAGGCAGGCACAAUGGUACAGUGUCCUAAUGCCAGCACUCAGGAGGCUGAGGCAGGAGGAUUGCUGUGAGUUUGAAGCCAGCCUGGGCUAAACAGUGAGAUACUGUAUUGGGGGGGAAAAAACCUUCCAAAACGACAAAAACCACACACACAAGCAAGAAAGAACGAAGCAAAGAAAUGAUAUUAAAAACAGUAAGGCAAGGCUAGGCCAGGGAGUUUGUUUUCUACGGUCAUCUUUAUAAGCGUUGUAGGAGGGACCCACAGUCAUCCCCAAAUCCACUUGGCUCCUGGGUCCUUAAUGUGAAAGUGGACACCGUCACCUUUAGGGACACUGAGACCCCUUGAUUAAGUGAGCCUCCACGAACCCCAGCACAGACCAGCUGGCUUUAUUUUUUUGAGGCAGGAUCUCACUUUGUAGCCCAGGCUGGCUUUGAACUCACAGUGAUCUUCCUGCUUCAGCCUCCUGGGUGCUAGGAUGGCAGGCGUGCGCCCCAUGCCUGAGUGAGCUGGCUCCUUUGAGGAUGAAGGCGAACCCCAGGCCUUGUGCCGCGUGCUCCCAAGCCCCCUGCCUGUGGUUACCUGGGAGAAGAGGGCUCCAGGGAGGACGGCAUUUUGGACGCCUGCUCGGCUCCUAGGGAGGCACUGGGCCAGCAGCACAGCUCGCACGCAGCUCAUGCUCUGGGUUCCGGGUUGGGGAGCCACCUGGCCAGGAGAGAAGAGCGGUGAGCCCGAGCGGCCGGGCCUAGAUGACUGCUGAUUCAGCCAUCUCUGUCUUCAGGCCUGUGCGGCUGUACCACUUUCUAAAAUAUAUUUGUUACCUAUUUUAUUAGAUAGAAAGGCUCAUAAAGUGUUCUGUAUUCUGCCACGUUUUUGUUUCUCAAAUAAUCAUCUUUUAAAAUGUAAGUCAGAGCCUGGUAUGGAGGUGCAGGCCUGUCAUUCCAGCACUCAGGGAAGCUGAGGCAGAAGAUCUCAGGUUCAAGCCCAGCAUGGACAACUUCAUAACUUAGAUCCUGUCUCAAAAGAAACCUUGAAAAAGAAAAAAAAAAAAAAGCUGGGAAUGUAGCUCGGUGCAAAGGCCCUCGGUUCAAUCUCCAGUGAAGAAAGUAAAAAGCAGAUUUAAAAAAAAAAAAAAAAAAGGACGUGGCGAUUUAGCUUAGUGGUAGAGUACAUGUGUAAGGUUUCGAGCUCAUUCCCAGCCCUGCAAAAACAAAACCAAACCUAUACAACCAACCACAAACCCCAAACCAGGUACUUCCAUUUCUGGGGAUUCAUUUGUUACCAUGGCAACACAGGUGUGGGAAGCCAGGGUUUCCCAUGGAGUCCAGCCCCAGCCCCAGCCCCAGCCCGGCCCCAGGCACAUGCUAAAAGCUGAACUCUAAGUCUGGUUCCCAUACAGCAGCGCUGGGGUAUGGCUCUGUGGGGAGCACUUGCCUGGCCCUGUGUUCAGCCCCGAGUUCCAUUCUGGCCCGAGAUGUGACAGGGUCAGGGUCGCAAGCACACAGUGGGGAGGCUGCAAGCUCAGAGAGAUGCGUUCCUAAGGCCUCGCCCGCUUUCCCACGCCAGCCCAAGGCCUUCUGCACGCUAAGGACACACCUAGCACAGAGGCCCAGCCGUGGCCCUCAGUUUUUAGGGUUCUGUUUUUAGUAUACCCACAGAGUCGUGUGAACAUCAUGGGAUCUUGUGAAGAUGCAGACUUUUGUUUUUUUCAAAUGCAGAUUUUCAACUGGGCACAGGUGGUGCAUAUCUGUGAUCUCACAGGCUGGGGCAGGCUUAUUCCAAAUUCAAGCCCAGCCUAUGCAGCUUUGUGAGAUUCAGACUUAAAGUUGAAAAACAAGGGCCGGGGCUGUGGCUCACUGCGAAGGCCCUGGGUUCCAUCCACUUUCCGGCCUGGGGACUGAACCUACAGCCGUCACACAGCUACUCUCUAUUUUUAUUUUUUUGAGAGAGAGUCCUGCUAAGUUGCCCAGGGUGGGCUCGAACUUUUGAUCCUCCUGCCUCAGCCUCCCUGACUGCUGGGAUGACAGGCCUGUGCCACCAGGCCUGGCUCUAGCAGUCCUAGGGCCACCGUGCCCCUCACCUCUCCGUUCAAUCCAUCAACUAGUCCUGGUGAGUAUGUACUUUCAAGUGCAUCCCAAAGGUAACAGGUGCCCUCCAUCUGCAGGCUACCACCCUGAUCCGUGAUCCAUUUGCUGCAUACCUGCCCAGCCUCCCACUUCUGCACCCCAACAGCUCUCCCUCCAGGGCCAGAGACAGCCUUGACAAAUGUCAUCCAAGCUACGCAGCAACAGUGUUUUUGAAACAAGCUGAUUUCAGUCUCAGACCCCUGGUAUGUCUCCCUCUGCCUGGAACUUUCUUCCUCCAGAUCUUGCAAAUACUGUAAUCAUUUAGGCUUCUGUUCAAAGGCCAGUUCUUCUGAUCCCCACCUCAUUCUUCCAGGCUAAAAUAUAAGCCUUGAGGCUGAGGCAGGCAGAUCGCUUUGAGUUCAAGGCCACCCUGAACAAUACAGCGAGACUAUGUCUCCAAAAAAUGAAGUAAGAUAAUUCCUCAUCCUGAUUAAUGCGUUUUUAGCAACUACCCUACCUGAAACCACCCGUUUAUUUCUGACUUGGUCAAUGUCCGGGUGUCUGAAGACAUAGAUUUGUCUACCUUUCUCACUGCUGUUUACAGAAGCCGGGGGGGGGGGGCGCCAGGAAUAUGGUUAAGUAACUGCCAACGACGAGUAAGCGGGGAGUUUCUACUAAACCUCUAUAAUCGGCAUCCUGAGGCAGGUGUAAUCUAACAGCUCCUAGGCUGGGCGCCCCGAAACAAGCAGGCGCAGCUUUCAGCCCCCGCCUCUCUGCAGCGGGGACUAAAGCCUUGACCUCUCUGAGUCACCUACGUACCCCGAAAAGCAGGAGAUUCCCACAGCGGGGUGGCAGCGCACGGCGGGCAGCCUUUUCCCUCACAUCCCCGUCCCGCACCCCAAAAGGUCACAGCGCCCCGACCUUGCAGCUGGGUCUCUCUAAAGCCACCCUCUCGCGCUGCUAGGUCCAAAACGGGAUGUCCGAGCCCCCAGAGGUUCGUGUCCACCUUCCCGCGUGCGCCCUACCUACUCACGCGACAGGCCACGGAACCCGGGCAGGUUUUGUCUUGCUCCUGGGCGCCGCCAUGUUAAUCAAAGGAACUUCCGGGUUACAGGUCACCAGGGAGCCAGCAAAUCAAAAGAGUCGAUUUUGACAGAUCCCGCCCAUAAGAGAAUAAUAACCAAUAUAAAGAAGCUAUUACUUUGGUUCCGCCUCCUAAAGCGAAAAGCCACACUCCCUAAUCUGGCAAGCCGACUUGCAGAUCUGGGAACUGUGGAGUGAGACCCAUGGGGAGGUGUUAGGUUUUUCCUGGCUGUGAAGAUGGAUUUGGGAGACCAGUAAGACCUGCCAGGAGCCCCAGUUAUCUGACCUGAAAUCCAGGAGUGAAUUAGUGAAAGUUGGAGGGAUAUGGAUUAUUCACUCGACAAGCAUUUUUUGGGCGCUCACUGUGUGUCAGACACAGUUCUAGGCUCCAAGGAUACCUCGCUGAUGUGAAGGAGACAGACCCAUACUCCAGCUCCGUGGUCCUUCGCUUAUGCUUAGCCCAUCUGUGCCUCAAUGCUGUCACCCGUGAAAUGGGUCAAUUAUAAUACAAAAUAUUUUUAAGA